rnacentral:rRNA from 1 species
GGCCCAGAUCGUUUACCGUGAAAAAAUUAGAGUGUUCAAAGCAGGCAGAUCCAAUUUUCUGCCACCGAAUACAUUAGCAUGGGAUAAUGGAAUAGGACCCUGUCCUCCUAUUUUCAGUUGGUUUUGGCAGCGCGAGGACUAGGGUAAUGAUUAAUAGGGAUAGUUGGGGGCAUUAAUAUUUAAUUGUCAGAGGUGAAAUUCUUGGAUUUAUGAAAGAUUAACUUCUGCGAAAGCAUCUGCCAAGGAUGUUUUCAUUAAUCAAGAACGAAAGUUAGGGGAUCGAAGACGAUCAGAUACCGUCGCAGUCUUAACCAUAAACGAUGCCGACCAGCGAUUAGGAGACGUUGAAUACAAAACACCACCAUCGGCGCGGUCGUCCUUGGCGUCGGUCUUUCGGGGCCGGCGCGGGGGCGGCUUAGCCCGGUGGCACUGGUGAAUGACUCCCCUAGCAGCUUGUGAGA